GGGGUUGUGGCUCAGUGGUAAAGUGCUCACCUAGCAUGUGUGAGGCACUGGGUUUGAUCCUCAGUACCUCA
rnacentral:tRNA from 1 species